CCUACGGGAGGCAGCAGUGGGGAAUAUUGGACAAUGGGGGCAACCCUGAUCCAGCCAUGCCGCGUGUGUGAAGAAGGCCCUCGGGUUGUAAAGCACUUUCAGUGAGGAAGAACGCCUGGUGGUUAAUACCCAUCUGGAAAGACAUCACUCACAGAAGAAGCACCGGCUAACUCCGUGCCAGCAGCCGCGGUAAUACGGAGGGUGCGAGCGUUAAUCGGAAUUACUGGGCGUAAAGCGCGCGUAGGUGGCUUGAUAAGCCGGUUGUGAAAGCCCCGGGCUCAACCUGGGAACGGCAUCCGGAACUGUCAAGCUAGAGUGCAGGAGAGGAAGGUAGAAUUCCCGGUGUAGCGGUGAAAUGCGUAGAGAUCGGGAGGAAUACCAGUGGCGAAGGCGGCCUUCUGGACUGACACUGACACUGAGGUGCGAAAGCGUGGGUAGCAAACAGGAUUAGAUACCCGAGUAGUC
rnacentral:rRNA from 1 species